AAUGGGCAAGAAUGAUGAUUCAAUUAGAUGUUUGAAUGGAUUAAUCUUAAUCCAUUCUGAAAUUAAACUCUUGAGGCAUUUGGAAUUGGCUGACUUGCUGUU